rnacentral:lncRNA from 1 species
CCAUGUGGGGCCCACAGCCCAUUUCGGCCCGACGUGGCCCAAAACAGCCUAAGCCCAUGAAAUCGCUCAUGGUAGCCUCUAUGAUCAAACGGUCACGUUUUAUGCAUUCGGAUCAGUACACGAGUGAUCACACACUCGUGUAGUGUCUAUAGUCAUACUUUUUCGGCUUUUUCUGUUUAAUAGUUAUUACAAUAUGAUUACCCACAUGUUCACGAAAAUGGGCGAAAAGUCCAUGAGUACUCCAACCUACAUUCAUUCACAAGAUUCAGUUAAUCGCAAACCAAUUGACCUAUCCAAAACCCCCAC